CCCGCCACCCACACGUGAGAGUGAGGGGAAAAAUGGGUACUCACCAUAAGGGCGUCUGCCCAACGGGGCACCUCAAGAGUAGCAAGAGUUCCAUGGUCUCCCUCUGGAUGGUAAGAAGGUCGGAGCCUUGGCGUCAUGGAAUCCCUGUGUAGGGAAGAAGGAACCUUGAGUGGCUCGGAAUGAGCCCCGGAAACCACGGCCAGGUGGAC